rnacentral:rRNA from 1 species
UGAUGUUAGCGGCGGACGGGUGAGUAACACGUGGGUAACCUGCCUGUAAGACUGGGAUAACUCCGGGAAACCGGGGCUAAUACCGGAUGGUUGUUUGAACCGCAUGGUUCAAACAUAAAAGGUGGCUUCGGCUACCACUUACAGAUGGACCCGCGGCGCAUUAGCUAGUUGGUGAGGUAACGGCUCACCAAGGCAACGAUGCGUAGCCGACCUGAGAGGGUGAUCGGCCACACUGGGACUGAGACACGGCCCAGACUCCUACGGGAGGCAGCAGUAGGGAAUCUUCCGCAAUGGACGAAAGUCUGACGGAGCAACGCCGCGUGAGUGAUGAAGGUUUUCGGAUCGUAAAGCUCUGUUGUUAGGGAAGAACAAGUACCGUUCGAAUAGGGCGGUACCUUGACGGUACCUAACCAGAAAGCCACGGCUAACUACGUGCCAGCAGCCGCGGUAAUACGUAGGUGGCAAGCGUUGUCCGGAAUUAUUGGGCGUAAAGGGCUCGCAGGCGGUUUCUUAAGUCUGAUGUGAAAGCCCCCGGCUCAACCGGGGAGGGUCAUUGGAAACUGGGGAACUUGAGUGCAGAAGAGGAGAGUGGAAUUCCACGUGUAGCGGUGAAAUGCGUAGAGAUGUGGAGGAACACCAGUGGCGAAGGCGACUCU